rnacentral:rRNA from 1 species
CCUACGGGAGGCAGCAGUAAGGAAUAUUGGUCAAUGGACGCAAGUCUGAACCAGCCAUGCCGCGUGAAGGAUGACGGCCCUCUGGGUUGUAAACUUCUUUUAUCUGGGACGAAAAAAGGGCUUUCUAGCUCACUUGACGGUACCAGAGGAAUAAGCACCGGCUAACUCCGUGCCAGCAGCCGCGGUAAUACGGAGGGUGCAAGCGUUAUCCGGAUUCACUGGGUUUAAAGGGUGCGUAGGUGGGUCUGUAAGUCAGUGGUGAAAUCUCCGAGCUUAACUCGGAAACUGCCAUUGAUACUAUAGGUCUUGAAUUAUCUGGAGGUAAGCGGAAUAUGUCAUGUAGCGGUGAAAUGCUUAGAUAUGACAUAGAACACCAAUUGCGAAGGCAGCUUACUACGGAUUGAUUGACACUGAGGCACGAAAGCGUGGGGAUCAAACAGGAUUAGAUACCCUGGUAGUCCACGCCCUAAACGAUGGAUACUCGACAUCAGCGAUACACUGUUGGUGUNUGAGNGAAGACGAGUUAAGUAGUCCGACCGUAACGGUAAGGUACGUUACCGACGUAAGGUUAGGUUAAACGUAACGAAGGAAGUUAGACGGCGUUGAGACGUUACGCCGACGGACGACGACGAGGGAGGAGG